GCCGCUGCCGCCACCGCUGCCGCCUCUACGGCCGCGUCAGAACUGAAGAGAGGAAGGGGAGGAGCCCAGCUGAGCCUAAACUGCCGCCUGAUCUUACCCCUGACCCGAGGGCCGCAGAGAGAGUUUGCUCUGUAGCGGUUUCCUCCGAGGCAGGUAGCGACUGCUCCUUUGGGAACAAGAAGGAGCCAGGCGGUGGGGCCGGGCUGGGGCGCGCACCACCCCAAGGAAAUUAAUAGAUGAUGUCCUGAUCUGGAGGACUAUGACCCAUCCAUAUGCGCAUGCUAUCUCUGAGGAAAUGCAAGAGCUCAGCUUGGCUGCAUCUAAGGAGGCCACCAGAUGAGAAGGGAAGAAAUCCAGCAUCUCCACCUCAUCAUUAUUUUCAAGUUUCAAGGAGCCCUGUCCACCAUGCUGGGCAUAGAUCUAGGCAUUCUGCAAAGAUAUUAAGUCCUGAGUACUGGAUACUACACCUGUUUUGA
rnacentral:lncRNA from 1 species